GUCACUUCCGCCUGUCAGAGAGAUGCAGGAAGUGUCUGGACGGUGCUGCGGGCAGCGUGACUAAGGAAAACUCCGGUGGCGGAGGUCUAUGGAAUGUCUUUCUGCCAUUUCCUCCUGGAUGGACCAGCAUUUUUUGAAAUGUAACAUGGCCAAGACCAAGCUUAUGUUCCUCUACCACAUCCUCUUUUUACAUUGACAACAUCAUAAAAUGAAGGGAGGCCAAAUAAGGAUAAACACAGCAAUUAUGUUUAUCACUAGUUACCAUGGUGAUGGUCACUCCCCCCGCCUGCAGCCUCUGUGACGGAUCCUGGGCGCCGGCGGCUGCCUAUGACGUCACAUGGAUUCUGGAGCGGACGGCGACGGCGGCUCUCCUGUGCA